UCUCAUCUGUGACCACACCCUCAUC
rnacentral:piRNA from 1 species